GCUGCGCGCAGCGGGCCCCGCGCUCCCCUCAUCGCCGCGGCCGCUGGCCCCCCCGGCCCGCCGCCCCCGCCGUGAGCGGUGAGGUGUGCCCGUCGGGCGGCGGGGGGACCCCGGCCGGGAGGUGGCGUGCGGCAGGGUCAGGUCCCCGGUCAGGGCCGGGCCCCCCGCCGGGGCUGGGUAAAAUCCAUGAUGUCCCUGAAGAGGUGUGCUGUUUGAGAGGACAGUGGCCGAGGUGCCUUGCAGGCAGUGACCACCCCAGGAGAUGCUGGCGCAGCGCAGAGCAGGGUCCCUGGUGCUGUCAGGGACCCUGCAGUGGCAGAGGGACCUUGCAGCAGCACUGCUGGGUUUAAGAGAGGAACGUGGUGUCGGUGUUUCGUGAGGACCCUGCCACAGUGAGGUAGCACACUGAUGUGUCACAUAGUGCCUCUUCCUCUUUGUCAGCAGGACAAAUACCUUGUUACCGAAAUCUGGGAAUAAAGAACUUAUCAACAUCAAUGUGAUGCAGAUAAGCAGACACUUCUUUAUUAACGGCCAGGUGCGCGAGUGAGUGCUCUCACGAUCAACGCACACCAAGUUUCAAAAUCGUACACCUUAUCUAGGACUUACUCAUACAUAUUCAUUAACUAUUCAUGCAUAAACAUAGUAUCUCCCGAAAAUCGUUAACAUACUCUCCUCCCAUAUCCGAUUCUGCGCAGUAAAGGUUAGAAAGGUCUGGAAAUGGGUCUGGGGUAUUAUUCGGGUAGGUGGUACAUGAGUCUGUGGUCGCGUUGCCCCCUGCCGGAGUUACCUUUUACCUGCAUUCGCUGUUUCUUGGCGGGUAACUACAAGUUGCUUCAUUCCACUCUCCCCAGUUCCCAUUAAUUCUACAUUCUGACAUCUCAAUACAUUCUCCUAGGCUACACAUAAACACUGCAUCCAACCAUGAAACUGUUAUCUAAGUUCUAAACAUUCCUACUAGGUGAUUCUGACCAAUCCCUUUGGCCUUGGUACGGGGCUGUACAGAGGUUUUCAUAGUAGCUGUCGGUUGCUAUACAAACACAAAUUCCACUAAAAUAUUUCUUAUAACUCUAUAUUCCUAUUUAAAAUCAAAUAUGGUUAAUUAAUUCAAACUAAUAGCAGAUAUGUAACAUUUCCCCCCUUUGAAAGUGUUGAAAAUUAUUUCAAUACUUUCACAUUAUUUACAUAGCAUUUGUUUCAGCAUAUUUUGGUGGUGGACUGUAUCCUCAUGGAAUAAUUGGUACUUCUCUCAUGAUCAUGCGAUGAACUGCAAUUCUGUUGGUAAAACACCAAGGAGUUCUGGCCAUGUACUGAAAUUGAGAAAAUAUGGACAUGGACCAUAUAGAGCCCCAUUGUUCUACUAAUUACGUACCUUGGCCAUUUUUGUUACACUUCCAUUCCAUGAUACUUUUGCUCACAUUGGUUUUAAGUUGGUUGUCAUAUGAACACCAUCCUACUGGGGAUUUGGACCCCCAGGAAGAAGAACUUGAGCUAUGGCACUAGGUCAGGAUCCUGUUAUAAAAUCAUAAUUCAGUAGGUUUUUUACAAUCUGUUUCUUUACCUGGCGACUUCCACUGUUUUUUGAUAACCUUUACUUGUUCAUACCAUUGAGUUACUGGCCUUUGUUCACAAUAAGUGGUCUCAUUUUUAUGUUCCAGAUUGGUCAGAUUCAUAGUUAAAAUUCCCUAUGGAAUAGAUUCACCUACUGUCCUUGGUAUUGGUAAACAAGCAGUAAUCUGCGUAACAUUCUGCAAAUUGGCAAAUCCUUUAAUCAAUCCUAACAUCAAGUAUUUCUCAAAUGUUUGUUUGGGAAUGUUAAUCACUUGUUCUGUUUCUAGUUGUCUUUUGUUUCUAUCCACCAAGUCAGCCCAUGAUCCUACCAGCACUACUUUCCAGCAUAAAAUCCAAAGAACAAUCAGAAGCUGAUAUGAUAAAUUAGACAUGUUUCAGAGUCAGUUUUAAAGUCUUUGGGUCAUGGUUAACAAUCUUCCAUGGAGUAGGUGCUUUCUUCACCUGAGUAUAAUUAUCCAAUCAUCUGAUUCUGCAAUCUUGAUAGCUGUAAAGGUGGUUAACAGUAUCUGGAAAGGUCCUCUCCAGCGCUCCUGCAAAGGUUCGGAGGUCCACGUUUUCAAAUAAACAUAGUCUCCUGGUUGAAAGUCAUGCACUGAGUUUUCCAGGGAUAAAGGUUUAUUCCAAAUUACUGCACUCUGAAUUGCAGCCAAGGUUUUCCCUAGAGAAAGCAAAUAGUUAUACACAUCUCGUUUUCCUUUUACAUGUAUGUUUGUAUUUGGUUCUGGAGACUUAUAUGGUUUUCCAUAUAAUAAUUCAUAAGGACUGACUGAGGUUCCACUCUUUGGCUGUACUCUAAUUUGUAGUAAUGUCAAUGGAAGUGCUUGAGGCCAUUUUAGAUUAGUUUCUUGACAAAUUUUACUUAUUUGUCCUUUUAAAGUCUGAUUCAUCCUUUCUACCUUCCCACUAGAUUGUGGCCUCCAGGACGCAUGUAAAUCCCAAGCAAUACCCAAUACUGUGCAAAUACUUUGGACUAUUUUGGCAACAAAGUGUGGACCUGUCAGAAGAAAUUCCAAUAGGAACUCCAAUUCUUGGAAUUACUUCUUGUAGUAACCACUUCACUACUUCUUUUGUUGUGUGGUGCGACAGGGAAGGGCUUCUGGCCAUCCUGUAAAAGUAUCAACCCCCACCAGGAUGUACUGGUACCCAUUUUGUCUAGGUAACUCUGAGAAAUCUACUUGCCAAUAAUCUCCAGGUUCUGUACCAGAUUUUAACCUACCCAUUUAGACUCUUUUCUUAAUCACUGGAUUAUUUUUCAAACAUACUUCACAUUUUGAAGUUAUCAUUUUAGCUAAUCCUAACAUUUUAACUGAUACUACUUGUUUCUGUAAAGAAGUUACUAAGGCUUCUGCUCCCUGGUGACAUUCCUGUUGUCUUGUUUGGAUUACUUGUCUCAUCAAAAGAGGUGGAAUUAUUACUUGUCCAUUAGGAGUUACCCACCAUCCAGCUAGGUUUUUCUUAGCAUUUAAUAACUGACCUAAUUUGUCAUCUUCUUAAUAUCUUGGCUUGUCCCUGGGAAGGGUUACUGUUUUAGAAGGAAUUACUGCCAUCUGUAACGUUUGUUUCUUUGCUACCUUUCUUGCCGUUUUAUCGGCCAAAUUAUUUCCAGCAAUUUCUUUUGUGUUCCCGAUUGGAUGUGCCUUACAGUGCAUGAUUGCUACUUGAUCUGGUUUCUGAAGUGCUUGUAAUAAUUUUAAAAUUUCCUUUUGAUGCUUAAUGUUUGAUCCUUGAGAGGACAAUAGCCCUCUUGCUUUCCACAAAGCCCAGAGAACAUGCACUACCCCAAAGGCAUAUUUUGAGUCUGUCCAGAUAUUUACUUUCUUUCCUCUACUUAAUUCUAAGGCUUGAAUCAAAGCAGUAAGUUCUGCUUUCUGGGCUGAGGUGGUACGCACCAGUGCUCUUGUUUCUAUAACAGUGGUAUCCGUUGUUACCGCAUAUCCAACGUAUUGGACUCCUUGCUCCAUAAAGAUGCUUCCAUCUGUAUAUAAUUCCCAGUCUGGUUGCUCCAAUGGUAAAUCCUUCAGAUCUUCAUGACUGGAAUAAACAUACUCGAUAGUAGCCAAGCAGUCAUGUUCCAGUUGUCCUUCUUCCUGUAUGGAGCUUAAAAACACUGCAGGAUUUAUCAGGUUAGUUGUCUUUAGAAUCACAUCAUCCUGUUCAGUACCAUCUGGUACUUCAUCAUUCGGCUCGGAGACAGCCAAUGUCCCCCCUUUUGUUCUAAAACAGUUAUCACCAUGUGUGGGACAUAGACUGUUAUUGUUCUUUGCAAGGUCAAUUUCCGAGCUUCUUGUAUGAGCAUUACUGUUGCCGCCACUGCUCGAAGGCAGUUUGGCCACCCUCUACUCACUGUGUCCAGUUGUUUGGAGAAGUAUCCGACUGGUCAUUUCCAGUUUCCUGACUUCUGAGUUAACACACCCAGUGCAAGGCAUUGUCUUUCAUGAACAAACAACUGAAAAUCUUUGGUUAAAUCCAGAAGUCCCAAAGCAGAUGCAGACAUUAAGGCACGUUUUAACUCUACAAAAGCCCUUUGCUGUUGUGGGCCCCAUACAAAGGGAGAAUUCUUUUGGGCCUUAUACAACAGUUUAGCUAUUAGCCCAUAGUUUGUAAUCCAAAGGCGACACCACCCUGUCAUUCCCAAAAACGCUCUGAGUUCAUGAGUAUUUCUCAGCUCAGGUAUACUGCAAAUGGUUUCUUUGUGAUAUUUUCCUAAUUGUCGCUGCCCUUUUGAAAUCUCGAAGCCCAGAUAUAUCACAGUCUGGCGGGCUAUUUGGGCUUUCUUCCUGGAUACCUUGUACCCAUUUAGUCCAAGAAAAUUCAAGAGGUCAAUAGUCACCUGUAUACAAGUAAACCUUUCUUCUGUAGCAAUCAGUAUGUCAUCCACAUAUUGUAAAAGUAAAUGUCUGGGUCUUGAUUUGUCCUGUUUCCAGAUUUCAAGCUCCUUUGCCAGCUGGUUUCCAAAAAUUGUUGGACUGUUUUAAAUCCUUGGGGUAAUCUUGUCCAUGUUAACUGCAUCUUUUGCCCAGUUUGUGGAUUUUCCCAUUCAAAAGCAAACAGUUUUCUGCUUCCCUUUUCCAAAGGUAUACAAAAGAAAGCAUCUUUCAAAUCAAGCACUGUAAACCACUGAUAAGUGUCCUUUGACGCUGUUAACAACGUAUAAGGAUUUGCUACUACAGGAUAAAUGUCCUUAACUAUUUGAUUUACUGCUCUCAGGUCUUGCACUAACCUAUAUUCACCCGAGGGUUUUCUGACUGGUAAAAUAGGAGUAUUAUACUCAGAUUCACAUUCUUCCAAAAUUUUGUACUCCAGAAAUUUAUCAAUCAAUUUCUUUAGUUCCUGUCCAACUUCUGGUUUGAUUGGAUAUUGCUUAAUUUUUACUGUCCCUGCUCCUUCCUUUAAGUUCAUUUUGACAGGCUCUGCUAGUUUUGAUUUACCAGGAAUAUCUGUUUCCCAUACUGUAGGAUCACUGCAGAAUCCACCUCUGGUGGAAUUUCCUGCUCCUUUACCUUUUCUUGUAUCAUCAAGAUUUCUCCCGUUUUUGACUCUGGUAUUUUCAAGAAAAAUUCUCCUUCCUCAAAAACAAUUUGUGCAUUUAAUUUGGAUAACAAAUCCCUUCCUAACAAGGGUAUCGGACAUUCUGGUACAUACAAGAAUUCAUGUGUAAUUAUCUUAUUUCCAAAUUUCAAAUCCAGGGGGUGCAGGAAUGGCCUGUUUUCUUCUUUCCCUGUUGCUCCUAUUAUAUUGGCUGUUUUUGCUCCAAUUUUUCCUUUACAGGUAUUUAAUACCGAAAAUGUCGCUCCUGUAUCCACUAAAAAUUUAACUUCUUUUUCUCCCAGCUUAAUUAUAACCAGAGGCUCAGCUGGGUUCCCCUCCGGUCCCCUUCAAUCAUCUAAAACCAUUACUUUGGCUAUCUCCUGCUGAACAUUUCUAUUUUUAGGACAAUCCCUUUUCCAGUGUCCUUCCUCCCUACACAAGGCACACUGAUUUAUUCCUAAGGGGGUAUUAAAAUUCCGAUUACCACAGUUCGUAAAUCCUCCCCUUCCAUUGAGCCCUUGUC